AAAUACUUAAGAUCAAGUUCUUUUUCAAUUUUUCUUAAAGUUACUAACUUUGUGUUUUUUCUGUUUGUCUGUUUUGAUUCAGGUACUACGAAUCACCAGCUUCACCAGUUGGUACUCGUUGUAUGCAAACACGGUCACGAGGAAAUCAGAAUCUCUUGUUCAACAAUAACAUCUACCGUAUUGCACGCCAACUCAGAACACAGACAGAAACAGACACAAUGGCUGCAGUUGUAGAUGAGCAAGUGCAACCAAACAACAUAGGUGCAGGCGAUGCACCACGCAACCACAAUCAGCGUAAUGGCAUCGUGCCUCCACCUGUGCAGAACAACAACUUUGAGAUCAAGAGCGGUCUCAUUGCCAUGAUUCAGAGCAACAAGUUCCACGGCCUCCCUAUGGAGGAUCCACUCGAUCACCUGGACGAGUUUGAUAGGCUCUACAGCCUAACAAAGAUCAAUGGAGUUAGUGAGGAUGGCUUCAAGCUCAGAUUGUUUCCAUUCUCUCUUGGAGACAAAGCCCAUCAGUGGGAAAAGUCGCUUCCUCAAGGCUCUAUCACCUCCUCGAAUGACUGCAAGAAAGCCUUCUUGGCUAAGUUUUUCUCAAACUCCAGGACUGCGAGACUAAGGAAUGAUAUCUCCGGUUUCACACAAACAAAUAAUGAGAGUUUUUGUGAAGCAUGGGAGCGCUUCAAAGGUUAUCAGACGCAAUGUCCUCAUCAUGGUUUCUCCAAAGCUUCACUUCUCAGCACUCUCUACAGAGGUGUCCUUCCCAAGAUGAGGAUGCUUCUUGAUACCGCUUCUAACAAGAACUUCCUCAACAAAGACGUUGAAGAAGGAUGGGAGCUGGUAGAGAACUUAGCUCAGUCGGAUGGCAACUAUAAUGAAGAUUAUGACAAAAGCAUCCGCACCAGCUCUGAUUCUGAUGAGAAGCACCGCAGGGAAAUGAAAGCCAUGAAUGACAAACUGGAUAAGCUACUCCUUGUGCAACAGAAGCACAUUCAUUUUCUGGGUGAUGAUGAGAAGUUCCAAGUUCAGGAUGGGGAGACUUUGCAAUCAGAAGAGGUCAACUAUGUGCAGAACCAAGGAGGUUACAACAAGGGUUUCAACAACUUCAAGCAGAACCAUCCCAAUCUGUCUUACAGAAGUACAAACGUUGCAAACCCGCAGGACCAAGUCUACCCUUCACAGCAGCAGAAUCAACCCAAGCCCUUUGUUCCAUACAACCAAGGUCAGGGGUAUGUUCUUAAGCAGCAGUACCAGGGCAACUAUCAGCAGCAACUUCCACCACCUGGUUUCACACAGCAGCAACAACAACCAGCUUCAACAACUCCAGAUUCAGACUUGAAGAACAUGUUACAGCAAUUCUCCAAGGACAAGGUGCAAGAGCAAUGGAUCUCGCCAAAAAGAUGGCAGAAAUUCAUAACAAGGUCGAUUGCACUUUCAACGAUCUGAAUAUCAAACUUGAGGUACUCACCUCAAAGGUCAGAUACAUGGAAGGACAAACUGCGUCGACCUCCGCUCCCAAAGUAACAGGACUUCCAGGAAAGUCCAUACAGAACCCGAAGGAUUACGCCACUGCUCAUGCUAUCACCAUUUGUCAUGAUCGAGAGCUGCCUACUCGACAUGUCUCCACAUCAAUCACCGAGGACAGUGAUGUUCAGGAUGGGGAGGCUUCUACUUAGAUUGAAAUUUCAGUUGCUGGACUCGACCAUUCAGCUGGAUCCUGUUUUUAAACUCAGUCCAACCUAGGCGAGAAACCAGCCAUCAUUGAGAGGAUGGUAAAACGAUUCAAGCCAGCACCAUUACCUUCACGUGCUCUUCCAUGGAAAUUCAGGAAAGCAUGGAUACAAAGAUACAAUUCUCUUGCAGAGAAGCAGCUUGAUGAGAUGGAAGCGGUGAUGCCUCUAAUAGAAGUUCUCAACCUGAUCCCGGAUCCUCACAAAAAUGUGAGAAAGUCAAUUCUGGAAAGGAUCAAGAUUUAUCAAGAUUCAGAAGACGAAUGUGAGGCGAAUCCGUCUAGGGCCACUGUUAAGAGAAGUGUUCAAGAAAAACUGGAAGAUCCUGGAACUUUCACUCUACCAUGUUCCAUUGGUCAAUUGGUUUUCAGCAAUUGUCUUUGUGAUUUGGGAGCUUCAGUAAGCUUAAUGCCACUCUCCGUGGCAAGGAAGCUGGAAUUCACUCAGUACAGGCCUUGCGACCUGACUUUGAUCCUUGCUGAUAGGUCUUCAAGAAAACCCUUUGGCCUUCUACAAGAUCUGCCAAUAAUGAUUAAUGGAGUGGAAGUACCUACAGAUUUUGUUGUGCUUGAGAUGGAAACAGAACCUAAGGAUCCUCUAAUCCUAGGAAGACCUUUUUUAGCCUCCGUGGGAGCGAUGAUAGAUGUCAAAGACGGGAGAAUAAGUCUCAACCUUGGGAAGCACAUCAAGCUGCAGUUUGACAUCAACGAAACUUCGCAAAGGACAGCUCAAGAAGAAAAGAUCAGGGCUCAACCUCAACCUUCGGAUUCAAUCACCAGACCAAGCACAACCUCUACACCUGACUUGCGAGAUCUCAAAAAGAAAUCUGAUGAGCAAGAAGAAACCAUAGAGAAGCUAGCUCAGACAGUUGAGGAACUUAAGAGUAAACUGGAUCAGAUGCAAGAGAAAGCUCAAUCAAAAUGCGGGAUUGAUACUAUCCCGAGAAAAACGUUUACUUCAAGAUGGUCUGAGGAGAUAGAUUAUCCACCAGAAGAGAGAGAGGCCUAUUUCGAGGAAAGAAGAAUUGAGUAUUCGGCUACUCAUCUCUCAAGAGAGGACGCUGAAUAUGAUGAUGAGAUCAGAGAGGACUAUGCAGAUCCUCUCUAUCACCCAUUUUCUUCUUAAUGAGUAUGAGGAGUCAAGCUAGAGACCUAAAACAAGCUCACUUGGGAGGAAGUCCCAUGCCUAUCUUUGUACAUAUCUUUAAUUUUCCUUGUUGUUUUUGACGCAUCUUGUUAAGUGUUUUCAGGAGAUAAGUAUGAAGAGCUGAGGGAAAUAGAUUCUGGCCUUGAGGAAACAGCAAUACACUCGACCAUGGAGCAAUCAAGGACACUCGACAUUGUUCUGGCUUCUCCACCCCGGGAAAUCACUCGACCACACCCUAUAGAGACCGAAUGACGAUGUGAUCGAGUAUAGCGAAUGAUGCAAUCACAACUUCUCCAUGUCAGUAAAUCACUCGACCGCGGUGCUGGCCGCAGCAGAAGAAGAGAGGUCGAGUAUCAUCACCGCGGUGCUGGCCGCGACGAAUGAGCAGAGGUCGAGUACCCCCAAGGGGAAGCUGAGACACAACAGGGAGAUUCUUCGAUGGCUUGGGAGCAAUCACAUGCGGCUAUUGACGACCAACUCCGCUCCUUCUUCCACUGAGGUAAGCACCUCACUCCACCAUUGUAAUAUACCAUCUCCUGUUUUUUAUUUUGUUUCUGUGAUGUGUUUUGUCCUGAGUACUCUCUUCCAAAUUUGGUCACACAGUGGACUGUGUGAUUUAAGUUUAGGGGAGGGCUCAGGAAGUGUGUGUUGUAUUGUAUAUAAUUUUGAGUCUGCAUUCAUCUAAGGCAUAGAAAAAACCAAAAAAU
rnacentral:sRNA from 1 species